UAAAAGGGCAUACAUUAUAGGAAAAACUUACCGGCAGUUUUUGAACCGGCAAUAGGGUGACUACCGCUGGAAAUGUUAACCUUUAGUAACAGCCACGUCUUUUCUUCUUCUUCUUCUUCUUCUUCUUUUCUCAUUUCUUCCUAUUCCCAUACUCUCUGUAUCUCUCUGUCAUCUCUUUAUCUCUAUCAUUUGAGCUUCGCACCCCUGACCUCUCCUCCUCAAUCGAGCUUCACACAAUAAUCCACUACUACAAUUUAGGACUUUUAGUUUGGACACUUAAUGACAGGAAGCUUUUGCUUCUCCUCAAUCUCCAUUUAUGGCACAGAACCAGAGAACACGAUUUGGGAUUUUGAAAUUUUGGUGGAUAUAAAGAACAGUAGCAGCUGUAAUGGCUAAGAAAAAUGACUAGAACUCCAUUGCAAUAAGUUAGGGCUCCUUGAUUUCAAACAUUUCUUUCUAAUCUAAUUCGUUGAGUUUUGACAUUUUAGAUUUUUUUUUUCUUUUUGUUUCUGAUCAAAUUCGUUUUUGGUAUUUUUUCUAUUAAAUGGUUCUAAUAUCUUCUUUUCCUCAAGAACAACAAUAGCUCUCUUCGAUUAGAAGAAUGGACGGUGCUGCUGGUUUAGGAUUUCAGGUCUCCUGGAUUAGAAGAACGAAUGAACGACAAAUUCUGUUUGCUGAAAAGAACACAUCUCAUGGCCAAAGAUGUUGGUCACCUCUGCGUUCAAGCUCCAGCUUUGCAAUUGGAGGUGUCAACACCACCAGGCCUGAGGUAGAUUUGGUUCAAUACAUUUGGAGCUAGGCUGUAUAAUAAUAAGCACAACCCUGACAAGGCAUCUUCACAUUUGCAAGGAUGGUUUUAUUUUUGGUAACAGUAGAGGCAACCUAGUUAACAAGCACUUUCUGGUUCUACAAGAUUCUGGGCUGGCGAAACACAGACUGAUUAAAGGAGUUUAUGUUUCUACUAAGCAACCUAUUGAAAUCAGAAGUGUAACAUCCAUAAUACAACACUUGCUUGUACAAAAAUGAUUCUAUUAGCCAUAACUAUUAUUUAAUUCUAAAUAGAAAUCAAACUUAUUAUCCUUGAUAUUUUUGUCUUGGAGUCCAUCUUUGAUACAUGUAAUACAAGUAGGGAGAAAUGAUCAGCAAGAUUCAAUGUGAAAUGUCAAGUGU